UACGUAGGGGGCAAGCGUUGUCCGGAAUCAUUGGGCGUAAAGAGCGUGUAGGCGGCCAGAAAAGUCCGCUGUGAAAACUCGAGGCUCAACUUCGAGCUGUCGGUGGAAACUUUCUGGCUAGAGUCCGGAAGAGGAGAAUGGAAUUCCUGGUGUAGCGGUGGAAUGCGCAGAUAUCAGGAAGAACACCCGUGGCGAAGGCGGUUCUCUGGGACGGUACUGACGCUGAGACGCGAAAGCGUGGGGAGCGAACAGG
rnacentral:rRNA from 1 species